GACGAACGCUGGCGGCGUGCUUAACACAUGCAAGUCGAACGGAAAGGCCCUGCUUUUGUGGGGUGCUCGAGUGGCGAAAGGGUGAGUAACACGUGAGUAACCUGCCCUUGACUUUGGGAUAACUUCAGGAAACUGGGGCUAAUACCGGAUAGGAGCUCCUGCUGCAUGGUGGGGGUUGGAAAGUUUCGGCGGUUGGGGAUGGACUCGCGGCUUAUCAGCUUGUUGGUGGGGUAGUGGCUUACCAAGGCUUUGACGGGUAGCCGGCCUGAGAGGGUGACCGGCCACAUUGGGACUGGGAUACGGCCCAGACUCCUACGGGAGGCAGCAGUGGAGAAUAGUGCACAAUGGGCGGAAGCCUGAUGCAGCAACGCCGCGUGCGGGAUGACUGCCUUCGGGUUGUAAACCGCUUUCGCCUGGGACGAAGCGUGAGUGACGGUAAUGGGUAAAGAAGCACCGGCUAACUACGUG
rnacentral:rRNA from 1 species